CCUACGGGGGGCAGCAGUGGGGAAUAUUGGACAAUGGGGGGAACCCUGAUCCAGCCAUGCCGCGUGUGUGAAGAAGGCCCUCGGGUUGUAAAGCACUUUUAGUGAGGAAGAACGCCUGGUGGUUAAUACCCAUCAGUAAAGACAUCACUCACAGAAGAAGCACCGGCUAACUCCGUGCCAGCAGCCGCGGUAAUACGGAGGGUGCGAGCGUUAAUCGGAAUUACUGGGCGUAAAGCGCGCGUAGGUGGCUUGAUAAGCCGGUUGUGAAAGCCCCGGGCUCAACCUGGGAACGGCAUCCGGAACUGUCAAGCUAGAGUGCAGGAGAGGAAGGUAGAAUUCCCGGUGUAGCGGUGAAAUGCGUAGAGAUCGGGAGGAAUACCAGUGGCGAAGGCGGCCUUCUGGACUGACACUGACACUGAGGUGCGAAAGCGUGGGUAGCAAACAGGAUUAGAUACCCUAGUAGUC
rnacentral:rRNA from 1 species